GGCGGUGUAGCUUAACCUGGUUUAUAGCGCCACGCUCAUAACGUGGAGGUCGGGGAUUCAAAUUCCCCCACCGCCA
rnacentral:tRNA from 1 species